AUCUACGUCCAUGCCACCCUGAACACGCCUGAUCCCAUCUGAUCUUGGAAGCAUUUAGGGUCGGGCCUAGUUAGUACUUGGAUGAGAGACCACCUAGGAAGACUGGGUGCUGUAGGUG
rnacentral:rRNA from 1 species